rnacentral:rRNA from 1 species
UACAGGGGGUGCAAACGUUGCUCGGAAUUAUUGGGCGUAAAGCGCACGUAGGCGGUUUGUUAUGUCGGAUGUGAAAGCCCUUGGCUCAACUGAGGAAGUGCAUCCGAAACUGGCAAGCUAGAGUAUGUAAGAGGGUCGAGGAAUUCCCGGUGUAGAGGUGAAAUUCGUAGAUAUCGGGAGGAACACCGGUGGCGAAGGCGGCGACCUGGGACAAUACUGACGCUGAGGUGCGAAAGCGUGGGGAGCAAACAGG